rnacentral:rRNA from 1 species
CCUACGGGGGGCUGCAGUCGAGAAUCAUUCACAAUGGGGGAAACCCUGAUGGUGCGACGCCGCGUGGGGGAAUGAAGGUCUUCGGAUUGUAAACCCCUGUCAUGUGGGAGCAAAUUAAAAAGAUAGUACCACAAGAGGAAGAGACGGCUAACUCUGUGCCAGCAGCCGCGGUAAUACAGAGGUCUCAAGCGUUGUUCGGAAUCACUGGGCGUAAAGCGUGCGUAGGCUGUUUCGUAAGUCGUGUGUGAAAGGCGCGGGCUCAACCCGCGGCCGGCACAGGAUACUGCGAGACUAGAGUGAUGGAGGGGGAACCGGAAUUCUAGGUGUAGCAGUGAAAUGCGUAGAUAUCGGGAGGAACACUCGUGGCGAAGGCGGGUUCCUGGACAUUGACUGACGCUGAGGCACGAAGGCCAGGGGAGCGAAAGGGAUUAGAUACCCGGGUAGUC